rnacentral:rRNA from 1 species
AAACCGGAGCUAAUACCGGAUAGUUCCUUGAACCGCAUGGUUCAAGGAUGAAAGACGGUUUCGGCUGUCACUUACAGAUGGACCCGCGGCGCAUUAGCUAGUUGGUGAGGUAACGGCUCACCAAGGCGACGAUGCGUAGCCGACCUGAGAGGGUGAUCGGCCACACUGGGACUGAGACACGGCCCAGACUCCUACGGGAGGCAGCAGUAGGGAAUCUUCCGCAAUGGACGAAAGUCUGACGGAGCAACGCCGCGUGAGUGAUGAAGGUUUUCGGAUCGUAAAGCUCUGUUGUUAGGGAAGAACAAGUGCAAGAGUAACUGCUUGCACCUUGACGGUACCUAACCAGAAAGCCACGGCUAACUACGUGCCAGCAGCCGCGGUAAUACGUAGGUGGCAAGCGUUGUCCGGAAUUAUUGGGCGUAAAGGGCUCGCAGGCGGUUUCUUAAGUCUGAUGUGAAAGCCCCCGGCUCAACCGGGGAGGGUCAUUGGAAACUGGGAAACUUGAGUGCAGAAGAGGAGAGUGGAAUUCCACGUGUAGCGGUGAAAUGCGUAGAGAUGUGGAGGAACACCAGUGGCGAAGGCGACUCUCUGGUCUGUAACUGACGCUGAGGAGCGAAAGCGU